GGUUUCUAAUUUUGCAUCAAACUAGGAUAAAAUUCUUUCUUGACACCAGAAUGGCAGUCAGAUCUCUUAUUGAAUAAAGAAGCUAUUACCCCCACUAAUUAAAAAUUAUAUCCCUGAAUAUUAAAUAUUUGCAACGAUUUAUCUGUAUAGAAUCUGUUAAAACCACCUCUUCAGGCAGAAAAUUCCACAUCCUUACUGUUCUUACAGUAAAAAUCCCUUUCCUUUGCCUUAGACUAAAUCUCCUUUCUUCCAGUCUAAAUGCAUAAUGCAUGGCCUUGUGGCCUAUGUAUAGCCCUG